CGACGAUGGUUAGCUGGUCUGAGAGGAUGAUCAGCCACACUGGAACUGACACACGGUCCAGACUCCUACGGGAGCCAAACAAUGAGGAAUUUUGCGCAAUGGCGCGGAAGCCUGACGCAGCAACGCCGCCGUGAUGGAAGAAGGCCUUCGGGUCGGAAAGCUCUUGUCAAAUGGGAAGAACCCUGUUGGCAUGGUACACAAGUGUGCCCACUGACGGUCCCAUUGAAGGAAGCACCGGCUAACUCCGUGCCAGACAGCGCGGUAAUACGGAGGGUGCGAGCGUUAUCCGGAACUUCUUGGGCGUACAGAGCACGUAUGCAGGCAGUGCAAGUCAGCGUGUGAAAACCCGGGGCUUAACCUCGGAAGCGCAUUUGAAACUGUGCUGCUUGAGUAUGGGAGAGGGAAGUGGAAUUCCUGGUGUAGCGGUGAAAUGCGUAGAUAUCAGGAGGAACACCGGUGGCGAAGGCGACUUCCUGGACCAAUACUGACGCUGAGGUGCGAAGGCGUGGGUAGCAAACAGGAUUAGAUACCCUGGUAGUCCACGCAGUAAACGGUGAUCACUAGGUGUAGCGGGUAUUGACCCCUGCUGUGCCGCAGUUAACGCAUUAAGUGAUCCGCCUGGGGAGUACGGCCGCAAGGUUAAAACUCAAAGGAAUUGACGGGGGCCCGCACAAGCGGUGGAGCAUGUGGUUUAAUUCGACGCAACGCGAAGAACCUUACCUGGAUUUGACAUCUGCGGGAGUGCUAUGAAAGUAGGAUGUGCCCUUCGGGGAGCCGCAAGACAGGUGCUGCAUGGCUGUCGUCAGCUCGUGUCGUGAGAUGUUGGGUUAAGUCCCGCAACGAGCGCAACCCUUGUCUUUAGUUACCAGCAUUUCGGAUGGGGACUCUAAAGAAACUGCCCCGGUUAACGGGGAGGAAGGUGGGGAUGACGUCAAGUCCUCAUGGCCUUUAUGUCCAGGGCUACACACGUGCUACAAUGGGUUGUACAAAGGGUAGCGAGCCUGUGAAGGAGAGCCAAUCCCAUAAAGCAGCCCCAAGUUCGGAUUGGAGUCUGCAACUCGACUCCAUGAAGCUGGAAUCGCUAGUAAUCGCGGAUCAGCAUGCCGCGGUGAUACGUUCCCGGGCCUUGUACACACCGCCCGUCACACCAUGAGAGUUGGUUGUACCCGACGUCACCGGGCUAACCUUUUUA
rnacentral:rRNA from 1 species